rnacentral:lncRNA from 1 species
UUUUAUUUUGGCUUAGAAAUAAACAUAAUUGACAAGUUUCCUUCCCCUGCAUUCUCGAUCCCACAUGUAAAUAGCACGGUGAUUUUCAAAAAGACAUUGAUACAUCAUUACAACACACACUUGCCGUCAGUAUUUGAAUAUAUUGAUUAAGAAGGUAUAGAAGAUUAAUGCACGCACACUAUUAUCCACCACUGGCCUAAAUAGUUAGUCCGCAAACAACGAGGGUCAUAAAAACCCAGCACUUUGAACACAGCCACCGGCAUGGUGUGAAUCUGAAAGCUUCCCACUAUCCAUUUCUACCCAUAGAAAACUUUUGCCUUUCAUUUAUCAAAAAUGAAAUAUGUUGAUAUUAAUGGUAUAUAAGAAUUAUUGGGGAAUUCAAACCAUUCCUAUUGUAAGUGAUAAAACUAAAUUUAUAUCAGGGUGAUUGAAAUGAGGAAAAAAAAGGGGGGAUCAGGAGUUCAGGGCCCCCUGUUUGGGAAAAGAAUUGGUUGAUUAUAUAUGGAAUCACUGAGUCAUGGCAGGAGCAGGCCCCUCUUAGGCAGUCGGUGGGCCCCACUUAUGAAAAAUUCUGGAUCCACCACUGUGGUCAGGUGGUGGUCUUCAGUUGUAUUAUCUUUUAAAAAAAAAAUUACACCUGUAUAGUGUAUAUUCUUUAGUGUAAAUCAAGGGAAAAUACUGUGAACUAUCUGUGCAUUGGGCUUAUUAAAAGGUAUUUCGGGGGGAAGAAAGAAGGGAGGGUGAGUCCAUGGGAGGUAAUCCCCACCCCUUUCAAUUUGAGAAUAUGCUAUUAUCUUGUAAACGGUCCAGAUCCCCAUCCCUAAACCAUAUAUAUUCUUGAAUGGGACGAUAAAACAAAUCAAAUGAAAUUAAAAGGAGGUCUUUGGGGGUUUCACCACUCUGUUCAAUUUGAGAAUGUGCUAUUAUCUUGUGAACGAUCCAGAUCCCCACCCCUAAACCAUAUAUAUUCUUGUCGGGGACAAUAAAAUUAAUAAUGAAAUAAAAUAAAAGUGAAGUCCCACCCCCUCUAGUUUGAAAACUUGUAAACGGUCAAGAUCCCCACCCCUAAACCAUAUUUAUAUAUUCUUGUAUAGAACAAUAAAACAAAUAAAAGGAAAUAUAGGGAGAGUCCAUGGGGUUCACCCCCACCCCCACAUGUUUGAGAAACUUUUAAAUGGUUGAGAUCCCCUGUCAUCCAGUGGUUAGGUGAAAAAAUUUCAGGAUCCCUGAUCCCCACCGUCAAACCAUAUAUAUUCUUGUAUGAGACAAUAAAACAAAUCAAAUGAAUAUAGGAUCAUCCCCUUUGUCUUGGGUUGGGAACCCCCCUUUUUAAAAUGGCUGGAUCCGCCCCGGCAUACCAUCUAGCUAGCUAUAAAGGCUUUAAAAAUAUGAAAUCAAACAAGGAAAUUAACAGUGUAGGCAACUGUUUUGAAUUUAAAAAAAAGUCUUUUACAUAUAUAACAAUGUUAAAUUUUUUGUGCAUUUAUUUUUGCUUAUCGUAUUUUCAAUAAUGGACAAAAUUGCAUGAUUGAAUAUUGUAAUUUAAGAAAAAUCAGCAUACAUGAUAUAAAAUGGGAAGUGGAAACUGGGAAUUUGACAAAGAGACAACAACCCAAUCAAAGAGCAGACAACGGCCGAAGGUCACCUAUGGGUCUUCAAUGCAGUGAGAAAAAUUCGGCACUGGUCUUCAGCUCAUAAAUAUGUAUCAGAAAUGAAAACGAGAUACAGCUUUCAGUUGUAUUAAUAAAAACCUCACAAUAAGUUCUGAAUAUCAGAAUAUACAGUAUUGCAAGAUUCUCUCAAAAUGUACACAUAGAGCUGAAAAACUGUCAGUGACUGUAAAAUUAAUCAUGCUUACAUUAAAGUCCAUGGAGUCCAUCUUAAUAUGCAUACUCUCGUACAAAGGAAUAUAAGUAUGCAAUAGACAUCAAGUUUUCAAAAAUAAGAGUAUCUAUGCCAUUAAUUUACGACAAGAUCUUAAUCAAGUAAUAAUUUCGGUUUGUUUAAAUAUUUCGGAGGUUAGUAUGACCUCCUCUUUGGUGAUGAUGUUUUCGUUUUAAAGUUGGGAAAAUUGUUUGUACAUGUACCAACAAAAAUAAAAACACAAAGUCAAUCUAGAAUUAUGUUUUUAUCAUUUUUUUAUGUUUAGGUUGUCAGCAAGAUGAAAAGGACAAGUAUGCAGUUCAAAAUUCAAAAUGUGGAUAAGUUGAGGUUCUAGGUCUUACCUUUGCAGAUUUUCAUAUUUUGCAUGAAUGAAAUCAAAGGUUAUAUGAUGGACAGCAGAGAAAGAAAAAAACAACUUUUCAAUUAUCCUGCUCCUGGAUAAAUGUAAAACAUCUUGUUUUUCGGUAAGUUUUAUGCUCUGUUUUGAUAGUGUUAGUGCAUUCAUCUUUCCAGUCUUUCCUCUAAAUUGUAAGUUUUUGGUGAGUGUUCACCAUGAAUUUCAGUAAGUAACUUGUGGAUUUACAUGUAUAUACUCAAAAUUUAGUACUAAUAUUAAUGGGAUUUUAGCAUGACAUCCUGCCAAAUGCUUGUUAAUCAUGUUUAUGUUCCAGAACAAACAAGUAUUUGGACUGUACGCAUACAGCCCCAAUUUUAAGAAGUUGGUCAAGUUUAUUACAAACAAAUGUACAGUACAGAUCAACAUAACUGAAAUCUUUAAUAGAUUAAUACAAAAAGUUUAAUUGCAGUUAAAAUAAAAACACAGGUUUGGUCGAGCUGGUACCAGACAGUACAAGUAUAUACUUAAAUGGUCUGACUGUACACAUAUGGUGGGACUGUAAGUUCUGGACCGUAAAAGUAAGAUCCGAAUACUGAUAUGGUCUGGAACAUUUAUACAUGUCUUAAAAUUAAUAUCAAACACAUUGGUGUUUUUGAACUUGGUAAUAAGUUAACUAUAAUGUUUUGGGAUAUCAAAAUCAAAAAUAUCCCAUUUUUACUUUUAAUAAAGAAGAAGAUUAUUGAUGUAUGUUUAAAUGUAUAUUAAAAUGAGACAGCAAGCCAACAACACAAAAAAAUAAGGAUAAAACAUACAUAUUUUUUUUGUAUCAAUGUUAUAAUUUCCAAUAUGUUCAAGGUAUUUUUUCAUUGAAAUAAAACACAAAUUGAAAUCUGUCUGAACUUCAAAAGCUUAAAGAAAUAUUGUUUCUGUUGUCUGCAUUUUGUAUAAUAUAUUGCAAAUUCUUGUGAAUAAUGGAAUGUUAUUAUAGUUGUCUAAAGUUUUAACAUUGAUCUUUAUACUGUAAAUUCAUAAAUUAUUGCGUGCAUUUAUUAUUGCGAUUCUGUCAUUUUAGACUUAAAUGCGAUUUUAAAUUUUACGAUUUUGAGAAAAAUCCUGUUUAAUCCAUAUAAAAUAUUUCAUAAUGCGAGUUUAAAUUAUUGCGUUUACAACUCCGUUGCAUUUUUCGCAAUAAAAAAAAACUCGCAUUAAUUCCGAAUUUACAGUAUAUAUAUAUAUAUUAUGUAUAUAACUUGGGAAAAUACCCAAAUGUUAUAAAGAAGAAUAAAUUAAUUGAUUGUUAUAUGGUAUUAGAAUAGGAAGAUGUGGUAUAUUGCUAAUUUGACAACCCUCCAUCAGAGACCAAAGGAUGUAGGCCGUUAGCAACUGAUGACACUGGACAACCUUUAACAAUCAGUAAAAUCCAUACCGCAUAGCUAUUUUUAUUGAAAAUCAUAUUAUUGCUACAUGUAUGAAAACAAUUUUGUAUAAUCCAUUACUUUAGAUUUUAUUGGUUCUUUUUCAGAAGGAUUGAAAUUCACCACCUAGAAUAAAUGGAGAAAACAUAGAAACAAGACCAGAAUAAAUUCAAAGACAAAAGUUGGAUCAGUUAUUAUUUUCAUCACUCAGUCAAUGAUUUGAAGUUCUUUUAAAUUCAAAAAAAUAUUGAAACCACAAUAAUGUCAAAGUUCUGUGCUGAAUGUCCAAAAAGUGGACUAUACCAUCAAACAAUGCUGGAUGAUAAGAAACUAUUAAUGUUUUGUGUUGAGGGAUAUUGUGAAAAAAAUAGAUUUACUUAAAUAGCUACUAGUAUGUUAAGCCUAACAAUAGAGUUUUUAUUGAUUUCAAAUGGCAAAUAAUUGUGUUUCAAGAAAGUAUUCUAUAAUUCAUGAAUAAACAUAUAUUGAUACUUACAUUAUCUGCUUUGUUGUUUAAAAGUUUAGUUUUGAACAGUUAAAGAACAAUAUGCUAAAUUAACAUUUCCCAAGAAAAAAAGAUAUUCAAUUAAAAAGAUUCAUCUUAUAAUAAUUUACUACCAAAUAGAAUACAUUGUAACAUACACAUUACUGUUUAUUUAUAUCUAUAUAUUUACAAUUAGAAUCCCAUAGGAUUUUAAUUUGUCCCAUGGGAUAUUAAAAAUCCCAUGGGAUAAUAAAAAUCCCAUGGGAUUUUUUUUGUCCCAUGGGACAACAAAUAUCCCAUGGGACUACAAUAAUCCCAUGGGACAAAAAAAAAUCCCAUGGGAUUUAACCAAAAUCCCAUGGGAUAAUGGUAAAUCCCAUGGGAUUUUGCCCUGUCCCAUGGGAUAUUGAAAAUCCCAUGUUUUUAUAAUUCAAAUUGCAAAAUAAAUAUGAAAGUAACUGUAGAAAACCAAUGAAAUUAUUGAAUCCCAUGUAAUUCUGCACAUUUUGGUUAUAUACAUGAUAUUGUAGCUCUUGUUUGAGGCGGCGGCGGAUUUGCAAAUGAGUGUUUUGCAAAUUAAAAGUGUCCAGUGUUAUAUAUAAAUAUGCGUAACAAAUUAUUUGCGUUAUUUUCUUUUAAUAUUGCUGCAACUAUCCUCUUUUAAUAUUUAGAAUUAUGAAAUUAAUAAAAAAAUGUCAUAAUUUCAAUUUAUUCUAUAAAUGAAUGUGUAGAAUGUCACGCACUAGUAGAUUCUAGCGCGGUUUUGCUCGCACACCACCGGAUAACUUUUUUUCAAUCCGUUCAUGUCCGUUAGACGUCCGUUCUUAUUCGUUAGGCGUCCGUCCAUAUCCGUUAGACGUCCGUUAAGCGUCCGUUUUAUCCGUUGACGUCCGUUCUGUCCGGUGGAAAAUUUUGAGCAUGUUUAAAACUUUGAACGGACGUCCAACGGAUAAAAUUUCCGUUGAACGUCCGUUAGGCGUCCGUUUUGUACGGUACUCGUCCGUUUUGUAUCCGUUACGUGUCCGUUAUGCAUCCGUUGGAGAUCCGGUAGACCAAUUCACCCAAACUCCCCGGCAGUUCCAGUUCCAAUCCGCAUACGGGCCCGAAUACUACUCUACACUUGAUGGAGUAAAGGAAAAAAGUUCCGGAACGGAAACGAUCACUGUACGGAGUUUGCAAUUCACCAACGGACGUCUUUCGGACGCCUAACGGACGCCGAACGGAUAAAACGGAUGUGAAACGGAAAUUAACGGAAGGAUAACGGAUAAAACGGAUGCCUACCGGAUGUAAAAUGGACAAAUGCCAAUUGAAAUUUCUCAUGGUUUAUUGCCUUUAAUUUUUAGAUGGUUUAUUGCCUUUAAUUUUCAGAAUAUUUUGUUCAUCCGUUUUAUCCGUUACGCUUCCGUUAGGUGUCCGUUUUAUCCGGUACUCGUCCGUUGGAUGUACGUUCGACGUCCGUUCUGUCCGGUACGUAUCCGUUUCACGUACGUUCAAUGUCCGUUGUGUGUCCGUUAGACAUUCGUUGCAUGUCCGUUAGUACACCAGCGGACUUCCAACGGAUAACUUUUUUUAUCCGUUAGGCGUCCGUUCGAGCUAUCCGAUAAGGUGUGGCCGAUGCUUUACAUCAUAAGAUAUUUAUCGAUUUAACGAUUUAACGAUUUAUCAGAAAACACUCAGACACAUCCUAUGACCAUCCUAAAUAAGAUCCUAAGAAACAUGUCUUAUGACAUAGUGUAGGAUACUCACACUAACACGGACCCUCAGAUCACUGAAAGUAAACGAACAAGGAAUUCGAACCAAGCAAAGGUUAAUUAUAAUAUUUAUGCGUAUUACUAAGAAUCUCAGUACGAUUUUUCAUAACUUGCGUCGUAAACUUAAGACCCCUCGCGACAUGACUUAUGAUGGUCUUAUGAUUGUCAACUAAAAUUUUGAUUACUUUUAAUGUAUAAUUUUAUGUUAAUUGCAAUAAAAAUAUUUGUUAUGUUAUUCGGUUAGCUAAAUGGUAAAGAUUUUACUUUUCUCAACUACGUCAACUAAAAUUUGAAUCUCCUGCGACAUACAAUUUUUGAAUUCUUUUCUUGCUCAUGGUUUAGCCAGUGAACAGAUAUAUCAUGUUAAGGAGGGGUAUUUGCGAAAUAUACCAGUCGAGAGAAUGUUAAAUUUCACGAGCCGUAAGGCGAGGGAAAUUCAUUCUCAAGACAGGUAUUUUUCGCAAAUAUCCCUCAAUAACAUGAUAUAUCUGUUUAAUUACACCGAAUGUUCAUGUACUAAAACGCAUUGCUGAUCUUGACGUUACAAGCGUCCAGUUGGAUAGAGUAUUUUUUGGCAAAUACCACGGCAGAGAGGGUAAAAAAGGCAUAUCCUUUUAGCAAAUACCCGGCGGCGUUAAAAAUGAACGAUAUUCAUUCGAUAACAGUAAAUUGGUGAAAAAUACACUUGCUAUCAACCAAUCAAAAACCCGGAUUCUUACAUAAGCUAUAAACUAUAUAAGAUAUCUUAUAAACUUUAUGAGAUAUCUUAUAAACUGAAUAAGAUAUCUCCUAUAAUAUAAAAGAUAUCUCCUAUAAUAUAUAAGAUAUCUUAUAUUAUUUUAUUUCCAGAAUGGUAAUAAUUAAUUUGUUCAUACUUUUCUUUUUUAUAUUUAAUCAUUUAUAUAAAAUGAUAGAAAAUAAUGUUCACUUAUGACAGUCAUAAGAGCAUUAUAGCUAUGACUCUCUUAAGACAGCUUUGAUUUACAUCCUAUGAUAGGCAUAAGAUGAUCAUAACAUAUGUCUUGAGAUAUGUCUCUUAUGAUACUUUCGAAAACCAGGGGCCGUGUCAAUGAAAAGUAUCCUAGGAUAUGUUCUAAGAUAGGUCUUAGGACAUUAUUUAGGAUGGUCUUAGGACGUGUCUGAGACAUGUCUUAGGAUGUAAAACAAAGCUGUCCUAGGACUGUCCUAACUACGAUGGUCCUAGGACCAUUCUUACUCAUUUAUUUAAUUGAAAAUAUAUGUAGAGAUUUGUAUGACAUAGAUUGAAUUGUAUUGUAUAUGUAAAGAGAGGGAGGAUGACUCUUAUAUAGAAAUCAAUUAACGCAAAAUAAAAGUUUAAUUUUUUACGGAAUACUAAUAAAUACGUUAUUAAAUAUGAUAAAAGAUAUAAAUGAAUCUAAUACGAAAACAAAAGUAAAUGAUCACAAAAUGGUCACAAAACUUUGUGAUAUUCGUGGUGCAAUUUUAGUACAUAAACUAGUUUUGUACACUCGAUUUCAAUACAUGUAUCGAAUCAGGAUUAGGUAAAAAGAGAAGUAAACUUUUUCCCAUAUUUGAAUUAUUUAAAAAUAUGUUGCUUAUGAGGAUAGUAUUGUUUAGGCUUCAAAAAAGGCAGCACGAAAUAAUUUAAUAUAAUACAAUUAAAUCUUUAACAAACAUUAAACAAUAUUUUUUUAUUAUUAACUUUAUCUAAUGAUAGUUUAAUAUUGUAUUAGUAUUUUUAGUAUUGAGUUUAUGCCAUAUUUGUUGUUUUUAUUACAUUUUAGGACAUCGUAACUUUUAGGACUAUCCUAAGACACCUAAUUGUAUAUCCUAACUUUAGGACCAAGUUUAGGACAUAUCUUAGUUUAGGAGACUUUCGUUAACCCGACUUAGGACUAAGACGUGUCCUAAGACCAUCCUAAGACAUGUCUUAGUCCUAGGACAGCUUCGUUGUGACACGGCCCCAGGAUGGUCUUAGGACACGUCUAAGUCCUAAGUCAGGUUAAUAUGUCCUAAAACGUAAUAAAAACAAGAAGGUGUCCAAAGUACACGGAUGCCCCCACUCGCAUUAUCUUUUGCAUGUUCCAUGGACCGUGAAAUUGGGUAAUAAUCUAAUUUGGUAUUACAAUUAGAAAGAUUAUACUUUAGGGAACCGCAUAUGUACUAAGUUUCAAUUUGAUUGGACAAUUUCAUCAAAAACUACCUUGACCAAAAACUUUAACGUGAAACUCCCACUUUCAUUAUCUAUGUUUAGCGGACCGUGAAAUUGAAGUCAAAAGUCUAAUUUGGCUUUAAAAUUAGAAAGAUCAUAUCAUAAGCAACAAGUACUAAGUGUCAAAUUGAUUGGACUUCAGCUUCAUAAAAAACUACCUUGACCAAAACUUUAACCUGAACGGACGCACAGACGGACAAACGAACAAACGAACGAACGAACGGAGCUACAGACCAGAAAACAUAAUGCCCCUCUACUAUCGUAGGUGGGGCAUAACAACAAAUUAGGCAAAAAAACUCAAUACUAAAAAUAUACAUAUACAAUAUUAAACUAUCAUACUGUUAUGAGAAUUAAAUUAAUACAUUUUUUUAUUUUUUUUUGUUAAAGAUGUAAUUGUGUAUUACAUUAAAUUAUUUCGUGCUACCUUUUUUGAAGCCUAAAACAUACAAGCAUUAAACUAACAUUUUAGCGACUUACUAAAAGACGGUGCAAUAUAAAUUCGAAAAUUCGGAAAAUAUUACUUUUUUUUAACUGCUCAUUCGAUACAUGUAAUGAAAUCGAGUGGACCUGAAGACAAAACUAUUUCAUCGACUAAAAUUGUAGCACGAAUAAAUAUCGCAUUUAACAAUUAAAGUUUACUGACUAUUUACUUUUGUUUUCGUAUUAAAUUCAUUUAUAUACUUUUUAUCAUAUUAUAAAACAACGUUAUUUAUUAGAAUAACUUUAAAUCUUUAACUUUUAUUUUGCGUUAAUUGUUUUCCUUAUAAAAGUNCCAAUCAUCAUUUGAAUUUGGCAAUUGAUCUUUAAUAAUUAGGACUAAUUGGUGAUGGCAGAGAAUAAGUCGCUGGUGAUGGUUAAAAACAUAUAGAAGUAAACUUUGCAAAAAAAAAGGUUUCCUCGGAAAAAAUUAUGAAAAUAUAUGAAUAUGCUAAAUAUUUUUUUUUUCCGAAAUAAUAAUUAAAGACGUUUAGAAAUAACAAAUUUUUCACAGUUGGGAAAUUUUCAAUUCAAGUUAUUUCAUUUUGAAAACGUUGAAAAAUAUAGAUCUUAUUAUAUGUUAAAUGUGGGCCGCUUGGAGAUCAACUUGUGAAACCCUGCAUAAUUAGGGUUUGUCUACUUUCGUCUUUUUAUAUUACCAAACAUUCUAUAAUCAAGGAUUUGUACAAGGCCUUGUUAUAAUGAAUAUUAUCGCCAAUAUCACCAUAAUUAAAUAAAGAACAGAUACAAUAUUCGCCUAAAGAGUUUGCCAUCUAACAAUUCAAAAUGAAAUGUUGAGUCGAAACUGAGGUACCAAAUCUAUAAAAAGAAUCACUAUUUUAGUCGAAAUUAAACUGUAUAUAAUAUUCUUUUUUUUCAAAACUCCUGAAAUAAUUUAACAUUAUCUAUAGAGAGCUUACAUAUGCAAAUCUGUUUAAAAGUAUGUGAGCGUAAAUAAAAUUUGUUUAUUACCCCCCCCCCCUUUUUCCUUCUAUAAAAUUUAAUUGUAAACGAUUUUCGUUCUUAAUUUGUGUUUGCUCAUUAACUGGGGUUCAUGCUGUCAAAAAAAAAAUGUCUCCUUGUGUAAAAGUUAUUGAUAAGAAAAAAUUGAAGCUUCCAGAAGAAUAACGGUACGUCUAAACACCGCUUGAAGGACCUCCUGAUUGCACUCAUGACAUACGAAGUGCACUCAGGACCCUUUAUAGUCAUCGCACACAGGAUGGAUGCAUAUAUUCUUUAUACGCUUCUUAUUUUUUAGAGUUAAAUUUGGUAGAAUUUGUAAUUCUUAGAAAUAAUAAGGGCACGUGUCACUGAUUACACAACUACUGAGCCAUGAAUUAUCCAAUCAACAAAAUUAAUUGGAUUAUCUUUAUUGUUGUUUUAUACAUUGUGUUGUUAGUACAGUGUGACCAUGCGGAAGUAAUAUUGUGACGUCUAGAAUGAAUAUCACGAUGUUUUAAGAUUUUCGUCUUUUAUUAAAAUUUCGUUCCAUAAAUUUUUAAGUUUUAUUCUUAAUUUUAUUAUCAUGUCCUGGACCAGUAAUUAAUUCUUUGCACGAGUUUGAAAAGGGAAAUAAUUAUAAAUGUUCAUACUUUAAAAGAAUUUAUAUUAAUUAAAGUUUUGUAUAUGGAAUCCGUUCUUAAACGGUAAAAAAAGCCGUACUUUUCAAACAAUCAAACUCAUAUACAUGUAGUUAGAUGUUAUUUCUCAUUUUUAUCGAACUUGUCCAGGAAUUUUAUUUUUGAGUUAUACGAAUAUUUUAAGAAAUCCGUUUUUAUUAAGUUUUUUUUCUCUAAUUAAAGUCGUUUUGUCCAGUUUCACAAGCCUGAAACGAAUUUCAAUGCGAAAAUAAAUUCUGAAAAUGAACUUGUCUCCGUUUUCGUCUCCGUUUUUUGAAAAUUAUGAUAUUUUGGGUAUAAUUAUUUCUAAAAAAUAUGUAAGUUAGAUUGUAGUAGCGAGAAAUUUAAAAAAGAAGAUGUGGUAUGAUUGCUAAUGAGACAACUAUCCACAAAAGACCAAAAUGACACAAACAUUAACAAAGAAAGACUAUUUCGAAGACAGUUUAUUGACACGAAAUCCGUUCAAACCACGACUAAGUCUUCGUGCACAGAUUUCCGUUAAGGUUAAACUGAAUAUUGUACAUAAUUGUCUUCUCUCUUGUAUAAUGGUUUGUUGAGAAUAAAGAUAUACAAAUGUAAUAAAAUUUGAUAUUCAGUCAACAUUGUGUUUGUUUAAAAACUUGAUUUAGAGAGAGAGAUAGAGAAAAGAAUCACACUGAAAAACAAAAAUCGAACUUGUUACAGAAAAAAAAACGCAACUAUAAAAUAAUUUUCUUUAUUCGUGAACUGCAAAACACAACAAAUUAAUUUACCCGUCAUCAUGAAAAAUAAACUGAAAAAGCACAUCGAAUGAGAUAUAUGUUUUAUUUUUUCUAUAUGCAAAUUCAUGUUAAAGGUAAAACUGAACUAAACAAUACAAUUCCUAAAAAACAAUAAAGAUAAUCCAAUCAAUUUUGUUGAUUGGAUAAUUCAUGGCUCAGUAGUUGUGUAAUCAGUGACACGUGCCCUCAUUAUUUUAUAAGAAUUAACAUAUCUAUCUAUCUAAGUUCGAUUCAGGCGCGGAUCCAGAGGGGGAGGGGGGUUCCGGGGGGGGGGGUUGGAACCCCCCUUUUUUUGGCCGAUCAAUGCAUUUGAAUGGGGACAUGUAGUUGAACCCCCCCUUUUUUUGCCCUGGGUUAGGACCCCCCCCCCUUUUUAAAAUGGCUGGAUCCGCCCCUGCGAUUUCAACUUCUACCAAAAUUUAACUCUAAAAUAAGAAGCGUAUAACGAAUAUAAACAUCCAUCAUGUGUGCAGAUAUGAUUACGGUAAUGGGUCCUGAGUGCACUUUGUAUGUCCUGAGUGCACUCAGGAGGUCCUGAGCGGUUGUUUAGACGUACCCGAAGAAUAAAUCAUUUCCUGAACCUAAAAUACAUUUAUCUGUAAUUAAAGAAAAUUCGCCUAAAACAUUCUCUCAUAUAUUUAAACAAUUAAUUGUAAAAUAAUUAAUUCAACGUCGGACUUUCUGUCUGUUUACUAAUACUUUUCUUGUUCAGUUUAGUUUAUACCCAUAAUAGAUGAACGGAAAUAAGUACUUUUUUUAGGAAAAUUUACAAUUAGAUGAACGGAAUUAAGUACUUUUUAGGAAAAUUUACAACUCAAAUUUUCAAAAACAAAAUUCUACACUUUUUACCUGGAUGUUUUUCUCUGUCUCGAAGCCGCAACCUUUGACCCCGUAUCAAACGUAGCGUUUGACUAGAUGGUUAGUCACAUUUACUCAUUAUGACUAUGUUGGAAGUUGUAUUCAUCGUUAUGACAAAUUGGAUUGUUCAAUUGACUAUGCAUUUGUCAGUUACAAUUGAAUGCAUCCAUAUGACUGAUUAAAUAUCAAGUGACCAUGUAGUCAACAUGAUUACUGUGAAUAGUCAGACUGUUAGACUGUUAUUUUUAUUUGUGUUGUGUUUUUUUUGUUCACCAUUUAAUUUUGUGUGUGUUCAUUCGUUUCGUGUUAUGGUUCAUGUUCUUCUGUUAUCUACUUUUUUUGUUUCAUGGGAUUGACAAAUACAUUGAAUUAAUAUCAUUAAAAAUACGGAAGCAAUACUAACAAUGAAAAUUAUAACACUUCAAUUAAAACCUUCCUAUAUUUUAAGUUUUGAUGUGUAACUAUUACUCAAGACAUAUAUUAAGUCUAAAAAUAAAUAAAGAAAAUAAAUUUAUUAUAACUCAUUGUUAAUUGAAGGUUUAUUUCUGAUAUUUUGUCGAUCAACUCUGAUGUGUCAGUGGGUAUUCUCUAAAAAAAUCUCUCAGCUAUACAAAUAGCAAUGUCUUCAUUUGCUGAAAAAUAUAAUUAUAUCAUUUUAGAAGCUUAAAUAUAACAAUGACCAAGUAUAUCAGUCAUGUUAAAAGUUUAAGAAAAAACUAAUUUUAAAAUCUUUGAUCUAGUGAUUAAUCACUCAUCUUAUACCAUUAAUUUGUAAUGUAAGCACCGGGAUCUUGACAGCCACCCAUCCUAUAUCACAACAUUGUAACAUUGUAAGUAAGCACCAGCUUGACAGCCACCUAUCUUAUACCAGAACAUUUUAAUGUAAGCCCAGAAUCUUGACAGCCACCAUCUAUACCACAACAUUGUAUUGUAAGCACCGGGAUCUUGCCAGCCACCCAUCUUAUACCACAACAUUGUAAUGUAAGCACCGGAUCUGCAAAUCUUAUACCAGAAUAAGCACCAUGACAUAUCUUAUAACACAACAUGAAUAAAGCACCAGAUUUGACAGCCACCCAUUAUAACAACCAUUGUAAUGUAAGCACCAGAUUUGACAGCCACCAUCCUAUAUCACAGCAUUGUAUUAAUGUAAGCACCACGAUCUUGACAGCCACCCUGAGUUUUUAAUUCAUUGUCGUGAAUAUCGAUUACAGUGUUUAUUUUUAACAGUUUUUGCUCAGGUGAAAAAAGAUAUCGCUAAAUACUCUUUUCAAUCGACAAUACGUUGUAUGUGUAUCAAAAUUGAUAUCCCGUAUACAUAUCCCCCCUUUUUUAUUGUCGUUAAACAUGUGCCGAUAUAACUUUCAUUUAUACAUUCUUUUUUCUUAAAUAAUUUUGUAAGUUAGAAUUAAAACAAAUAUACAUCAUACUUACUUUAAACAAUUGGUUUAUUUGACAAAAUAAGUUUCCAUGCCUUAAAUUCUGGUUUGUUUACAUCUUCACAAUCUAUGGAACAAAGGGAACGCGAAGAGUGAAACGGAAGUGACAUGCAAGUCAAAUGACUUGACAAAACUAAAUUUGACUAACUGAAUAGUCAUCGUGACUAAUUUAGAUUUUCAGUGUAGCGACCAACACCUCACAUGACGUAUUCUCGAUGUUGAGGUAUUGACAAUAUACAAUCACAUUUAUCAAUCACAUUAUCAAUAUACAGCAAGUAAGUAAUUUGGUGUUGAAUGCCAGUAGAUCAGAAUUUGUUAAUUGAACUUUACCUGUUUAAGGGGCACUAGCUGCCAAAUUCAUGUUCUUCAUCGAUUUUAAUAAAAUUCACAUAACGUGUAUAUAGUGUUGAAUUGUUUAUUAAAAUGUUGCGCACAAUCUUGGCUGAUAUGCAUAAAACCAUUAUAUUUCAUGACACUGCAUGAAAAAGAAAUUGACUUAUCGCAUAAUACCAGAACCAGAGACAUAUAUAUUGUAUCUAAUAUCUCUGCCAGAACUAAAAAAUAAACUACAGUAAGUCCACAUACACAUAAGAGGGUAUGGAUGUGAAUUAACAGAAUAGAGAACAAAGGACAAAGAAAAAAAAAGGAAUAAAGAAUAGUGAAAGAAAGAGAAUAAUGGAAAAAAGUGUAAGUUAUUAAAAAUAUAACUAAAACAAGAAUGUGUCCCCAGUACACGGAUGCCCCACUCGCACUAUCAUUUUCUAUGUUCAGUGGACCGUGAAAUUGGGGUAAGAACUCUAAUUUGACAUUAAAAUUAGAAAGAUCAUACCAUAAGGAACAUAUAUACUAAGUUUCAGGUUGAUUGGACUUCAACUUCAUCAAAAACUACCUCGACCAAAAACUUUAACCUGAAACAGGACGAACGAACGGACGAACGAACGGAGGCACAGACCAGAAAACAUAAUGCCCCUCUACUAUCGUAGGUGGGGCAUAAAAAGAAGACAGAAAAAAAGACACCCCUCCGAGACGAGCCUUACAUGCACUGUUAUUACCCAAGGUUAAUUUUACGGCGGCUCAUUUUAUUUUGGCUUAGAAAUAAACAUAAUUGACAAGUUUCCUUCCCCUGCAUUCUCGAUCCCACAUGUAAAUAGCACGGUGAUUUCAAAAAGACAUUGAUACAUCAUUACAACACUUGCCGUCAGUAUUUGAAUAUAUUGAUUAAGAAGGUAUAGAAGAUUAAUGCACGCACACUAUUAUCCACCACUGGCCUAAAUAGUUAGUCCGCAAACAACGAGGGUCAUAAAAACCCAGCACUUUGAACACAGCCACCGGCAUGGUGUGAAUCUGAAAGCUGAUAUUAAUGGUAUAUAAGAAUUAUGUGGGAAUUCAAACCAUUCCUAUUGUAAGUGAUAAAACUAAAUUUAUAUCAGGGUGAUUGAAAUGAGGAAAAAAAAGGGGGAAUCAGGAGUUCAGGGCCCCCUGUUUGGGAAAAGAAUUGGUUGAUUAUAUAUGGAAUCACUGAGUCAUGGCAGGAGCAGGCCCCUCUUAGGCAGUCGGUGGGCCCCACUUAUGAAAAAUUCUGGAUCCACCACUGUGGUCAUGGUGGUCUUCAGUUGGUUGUAUUAUCUUUUAAAAAAAAAAUUACACCUGUAUAGUGUAUAUUCUUUAGUGUAAAUCAAGGGAAAAUACUGUGAACUAUCUGUGCAUUGGGGCUUAUUAAAAGGUAUUUCGGGGGGAAGAAAGAAGGGAGGGUGAGUCCAUGGGAGGUAAUCCCCACCCCUUUCAAUUUGAGAAUAUGCUAUUAUCUUGUAAACGGUCCAGAUCCCCAUCCCUAAACCAUAUAUAUUCUUGAAUGGGACGAUAAAACAAAUCAAAUGAAAUUAAAAGGAGGUCUUUGGGGGUUACCCCACUCUGUUCAAUUUGAGAAUGUGCUAUUAUCUUGUGAACGAUCCAGAUCCCCACCCCUAAACCAUAUAUAUUCUUGUCGGGGACAAUAAAAUUAAUAAUGAAAUAAAAUAAAAGUGAAGUCCCACCCCCUCUAGUUUGAAAACUUGUAAACGGUCAAGAUCCCCACCCCUAAACCAUAUUUAUAUAUUCUUGUAUAGAACAAUAAAACAAAUCAAAGGAAAUAUAGGGAGAGUCCAUGGGGUUCACCCCCACCCCCACAUGUUUGAGAAACUUUUAAAUGGUUGAGAUCCCCUGUCAUCCAGUGGUUAGGUGAAAAAAUUUCAGGAUCCCUGAUCCCCACCGUCAAACCAUAUAUAUCUUGUAUGAGACAAUAAAACAAAUCAAAUGAAUAUAGGAUCAUCCCCUUUGUCUUGGGUUGGGAACCCCCCUUUUUAAAAUGGCUGGAUCCGCCCCGGCAUACCAUCUAGCUAGCUAUAAAGGCUUUAAAAAUAUGAAAUCAAACAAGGAAAUUAACAGUGUAGGCAACUGUUUUGAAUUUAAAAAAAAGUCUUUUACAUAUAUAUAACAAUGUUAAAUUUUUUGUGCAUUUAUUUUUGCUUAUCGUAUUUUCAAUAAUAGACAAAAUUGCAUGAUUGAAUAUUGUAAUUUAAGAAAAAUCAGCAUACAUGAUAUAAAAUGGGAAGUGGAAACUGGGAAUUUGACAAAGAGACAACAACCCAAUCAAAGAGCAGACAACGGCCGAAGGUCACCUAUGGGUCUUCAAUGCAGUGAGAAAAAUUCGGCACUGGUCUUCAGCUCAUAAAUAUGUAUCAGAAAUGAAAACGAGAUACAGCUUUCAGUUGUAUUAAUAAAAACCUCACAAUAAGUUCUGAAUAUCAGAAUAUACAGUAUUGCAAGAUUCUCUCAAAAUGUACACAUAGAGCUGAAAAACUGUCAGUGACUGUAAAAUUAAUCAUGCUUACAUUAAAGUCCAUGGAGUCCAUCUUAAUAUGCAUACUCUCGUACAAAGGAAUAUAAGUAUGCAAUAGACAUCAAGUUUUCAAAAAAUAAGAGUAUCUAUGCCAUUAAUUUACGACAAGAUCUUAAUCAAGUAAUAAUUUCGGUUUGUUUAAAUAUUUCGGAGGUUAGUAUGACCUCCUCUUUGGUGAUGAUGUUUUCGUUUUAAAGUUGGGAAAAUUGUUUGUACAUGUACCAACAAAAAUAAAAACACAAAUUCAAUCUAGAAUUAUGUUUUUAUCAUUUUUUUAUGUUUAGGUUGUCAGCAAGAUGAAAAGGACAAGUAUGCAGUUCAAAAUUCAAAAUGUGGAUAAGUUGAGGUUCUAGGUCUUACCUUUGCAGAUUUUCAUAUUUUGCAUGAAUGAAUUCAAAGGUUAUAUGAUGGACAGCAGAGAAAGAAAAAAACAACUUUUCAAUUAUCCUGCUCCUGGAUAAAUGUAAAACAUCUUGUUUUUCGGUAAGUUUUAUGCUCUGUUUUGAUAGUGUUAGUGCAUUCAUCUUUCCAGUCUUUCCUCUAAAUUGUAAGUUUUUGGUGAGUGUUCACCAUGAAUUUCAGUAAGUAACUUGUGGAUUUACAUGUAUAUACUCAAAAUUUAGUACUAAUAUUAAUGGGAUUUUAGCAUGACAUCCUGCCAAAUGCUUGUUAAUCAUGUUUAUGUUCCAGAACAAACAAGUAUUUGGACUGUACGCAUACAGUCUGCCCAAUUUUAAGAAGUUGGUCAAGUUUAUUACAAACAAAUGUACAGUACAGAUCAACAUAACUGAAAUCUUUAAUAGAUUAAUACAAAAAGUUUAAUUGCAGUUAAAAUAAAAACACAGGUUUGGUUGAGCUGGUACCAGACAGUACAAGUAUACUUAAAUGGUCUGACUGUACACAUAUGGUGGGACUGUAAGUUCUGGACCAUAAAAGUAAGAUCCGAAUACUGAUAUGGUCUGGAACAUUUAUACAUGUCUUAAAAUUAAUAUCAAACACAUUGGUGUUUUUGAACUUGGUAAUAAGUUAUGUGAUAGAACUAUAAUGUUUUGGGAUAUCAAAAUCAAAAAAUAUCCCAUUUUUACUUUUAAUAAAGAAGAAGAUUAUUGAUGUAUGUUUAAAUGUAUAUUAAAAUGAGACAGCAAGCCAACAACACAAAAAAAAAAGGAUAAAACAUACAUAUUUUGUUUGUAUCAAUGUUAUAAUUUCCAAUAUGUUCAAGGUAUUUUUUCAUUGAAAUAAAACACAAAUUGAAAUCUGUCUGAACUUCAAAAGCUUAAAGAAAUAUUGUUUCUGUUGUCUGCAUUUUGUAUAAUAUAUUGCAAAUUCUUGUGAAUAAUGGAAUGUUAUUAUAGUUGUCUAAAGUUUUAACUUUUAACAUUGAUCUUUAUACUGUAAAAUUCAUAAAUUAUUGCGUGCAUUUAUUAUUGCGAUUCUGUCAUUUUAGACUUAAAUGCGAUUUUAAAUUUUACGAUUUUGAAAAAAUCCUGUUUAAUCCAUAUAAAAUAUUUCAUAAUACGAGUUUAAAUUAUUGCGUUUACAACUCCGUUGCAUUUUUCGCAAUAAAAAAAAACUUGCAUUAAUUCCGAAUUUACAGUAUAUAUAUAUAUAUUAUGUAUAUAACUUGGGAAAAUACCCAAAUUUUAUAAAGAAGAAUAAAUUAAUUGAUUGUUAUAUGGUAUUAGAAUAGGAAGAUGUGGUAUAUUGCUAAUUUGACAACCCUCCAUCAGAGACCAAAGGAUGUAGGCCGUUAGCAACUGAUGACACUGGACAACCUUUAACAAUCAGUAAAAUCCAUACCGCAUAGCUAUUUUUAUUGAAAAUCAUAUUAUUGCUACAUGUAUGAAAACAAUUUUGUAUAAUCCAUUACUUUAGAUUUUAUUGGUUCUUUUUCAGAAGGAUUGAAAUUCACCACCUAAAAUAAAUGGAGAAAACAUAGAAACAAGACCAGAAUAAAUUCAAAGAAAAAAGUUGGAUCAGUUAUUAUUUUCAUCACUCAGUCAAUGAUUUGAAGUUCUUUUAAAUUCAAAAAAAUAUUGAAACCACAAUAAUGUCAAAGUUCUGUGCUGAAUGUCCAAAAAGUGGACUAUACCAUCAAACAAUGCUGGAUGAUA